rnacentral:rRNA from 1 species
UACGUAGGGGGCAAGCGUUAUCCGGAUUUACUGGGUGUAAAGGGAGCGCAGGCGGCGUGGCAAGUCAGAUGUGAAAACCCGGGGCCCAACCCCGGGACUGCUCUGGAAACUGUUAAGCUGGAGUGCGGGAGGGGCAGGCGGAAUUCCUGGUGUAGCGGUGAAAUGCGUAGAUAUCAGGAGGAACACCGGCGGCGAAGGCGGCCUGCUGGACUGCAACUGACGUUGAGGCCCGAAAGCGUGGGGAGCAAACAGG